ensembl:misc_RNA 7SK 7SK RNA
UCUUUUCUGUUGCUACAAGCUUGGUUGAAGAGGGUGCUCAUCUAAAUAGGGGAGGGAAGAAUAUUGUUCUGUCAAGGGCAUGUUAGUAGCUGUGCUCCUCUGCUUAAAUCUCCAAAGCAACUCUAUUUUUAGGAGAACAUAGGUAGUCAGGC